GAGGGCUUGGUGUAGUGGUAGCAUGUCUGAUUCCAGCUCAUAGCAUACAUGGAACUUCCAGAUGGUCAUCGGUUCAAAUCCGAUAGUCCUCA
rnacentral:tRNA from 1 species